AUUGAACGCUGGCGGCAGGCCUAACACAUGCAAGUCGAACGAGUGGCGGACGGGUGAGUAAUGUCUGGGAAACUGCCUGAUGGAGGGGGAUAACUACUGGAAACGUUAGCUAAUACCGCAUACCAUCAGAUGUGCCCAGAUGGGAUUAGUUGGUUGGUGGGGUAACGGCUCACCAAGGCGACGAUCCCUAGCUGGUCUGAGAGGAUGACCGGCAACACUGGAACGGGGACACGGUCCAGACGCCUACGGGAGGAAGCAGUGGGGAAUAUUGGACAAUGGGGGAAGGCCGGAUGAAGCAAGGCCGCGUGGAUGAAGAAGGCCUUCGGGUUGUAAAGUCCGUUCAGCGGGGAGGCGUUACCCGAAGAGGAAGCACCGGCUAACUCCGUGCCAGCAGCCGCGGUAAUAC
rnacentral:rRNA from 1 species